rnacentral:lncRNA from 10 species
UAAAUUGUUGCUGCCUGAGUCAUUUAUAGAGGCUUAAACAACCUGAAUGUCCUCUGACCUACCUGUAACAUUUGAUGGAGUUGUAUGAGUAACUUACAAAGCUGUAGGUCCCAAGGUCGGUCUGAAAAAGAAAGUUCAUAUCCGGGAGCACUGACCCCGUAGUGUAAUCCUGGCACCUUAAAACGUACUGCUCCCUCCACCUUCACUUCAAGGUUAUGAAAACAUUGAGUAAAAGGGAUGAUCUGUUCAAAGUCCUUAGUGUUCUGCCAAUUUAAAACAGUAAUUUUCAAAGCAGUUAUUUGCAAGGAAAUUGCCUAGAACUUCUCCCAGUGUGCGGUUGUUUUGUGUGUUUGUGUGUGUGUUUUGUUUGUUUGUUUUCAGUCUGUCCACAGGCGUACUUUUAUAGGUCUGUGAUAGUAGGUAGCUCUUCAAGUUGGCAAACACCUGCUGGACAACCCCUGAGAGAUUCAUCUGAGUGAGAGAGCACUCUCCAGCCCCAUCGGAGUGGGUUUGCAGGGAAAUCAUAAGGAAGAAAUCCUUAUCUUUCCAACACUGAGAUGCUUCUGCCGAAGAGUAGAAUGGGAGUGAGGGGACACGCAAAACGGGCUGCUGCCGAACAGUGUUGUGGCUCAUGCCAUAUGAAUGGGCUCACUGGCCUGGCCCAGACCCUGACUGCCCACAGGAUCUUUGAGACAGAGAAACGGAGGCACAGAGAAGGAAGCGGCAGUUAAAGCUGCGAAGAACCUAACAAAUUUCAAGAUUGUAAGUGCCUUUUCCCAGGAUGCCAGCAAGUACUCCUGUAUUUUGAGCUGCAUCAAACCCUGUUGGAAUAAAAAAGGACAUUUCUAGGAGAUCAGUCUUCGAGAUUGGCCCCAGUUUCCCCAGAGUAGGAAGAGGCAGGAAGCCAGAGCACAUGUUCUCUCCAGAAAUAAAGUUG